rnacentral:lncRNA from 8 species
GUGUAUCAGUAAAGAGAUCAUUAAAAAAAUAGUUUGUUAUAUAGAAACAGCAGUAGAGCAUCUCCUCCUCCUCUCCCCUCCUCUCCUCCUCAUUUCAUCUCCUUCUCAUCUCCUCCUCUACUCUCCUCCUCUUCUCCUCUCUCCGCUCUUCCCCUCCUCUCCUCCUCUACUCUCCUCUCCUCCUCUCCUCUCCUCCUCUACUCUCCUCCUCUUCUCAUCUCCUCCUCUUCUCAUCUCCUCUCCUCCUCUUCUCCUCCUCUACUCUCCUCCUCUUCUCAUCUCCUCCUCUUCUCCUCCUCUACUCUCAUCUCCUCCUCUCCCCCUCAUCUCCCCCUCUUCUCCUCCGCUUCUCAUCUCCUCCGCUUCUCAUCUCCUCCUCUUCUCCUCUCCUCCUCUCCUCCUCUCCUCAUCUCCUCAUCUACUCUCCUCUCCUCCUCUUCUCAUCUCCUCCUCUCCUCCUCUCCUCGUCUUCUCAUCUCCUCUUCUCCUCCUCUACUCUCCUCUCCUCAUCUCCUCCUCUACUCUCCUCCUCUUCUCAUCUCCUCCUCUUCUCAUCUCCUCCUCUUCUCUCCCCCUCCUCUCCUUCUCUUCUCUUCUCUUCUCAUCUCCUCCUCUCCUCCUCUUCUCUUCUCCUCCUCUCCUCUCCUCCUCUACUCUCCUCUCCUCGUCUUCUCAUCUCCUCCUCUCCUUCUCCUUUCCUCCUCUCCUCUCUUCUCUUCUCCUCCUCUCCUCUCUUCUCCCCUCUAGUGUAAAAUCAUCCUGUAGUCCUAGCAGGUGUGCAGGGAGGCCUGCUGUCCAAGGUCUCAGUGAUUGGUGGAUUUUUUUCCUCCUCUCCAUGAUGUAUAGGCUUCUACUACGAGACGGUUUAUUGCAUUCAAACGUACAGCAAGAGACAAAGACCAAAGUUGGUUUGACUGAACGGCCCAGCGGUGCGAUUUCACCCCAAAAUAAUUGCUGACGAAGGAUAGUCAUUUUUCCAAGUGUGUGAUAGAGGGGAGAAAUCAUAAUGGAAAAUACAUGUCCAAUAAUUGUGGUAUUGCUUUUGAAAAACGAGCGCUCAGAUGUGAGACGGUGAUGCUGUGACACUAGUCUACCACGGUAUAAAAAGCUAAUGAAAACAUAGCAUGUUGCACUGUUGGGUAGAUACAUUUAUACGAAAGCUUAUUUCUAGCAAGAAAAACAUAUUGUGUUUGGUUGUAAAUACAUUUAAAUGAUGCUCAGUUUAGCUUCCCUAAUCGUACGACCUUGUUUUUACAAGGUUGAAUUACCAACAAUUAAUCUAUGGCCAUUUUUGAUCCUCUGAUGAACACAAUUCCACCUGAAAAACAACAACCACUUCAGAUGAAAGUUUGGUAUAUCCGCUCCUCACGCCUCCAUUUUGAAGGGGGAAUUGUGGUCUCUGUCUGACGCCCUCUACCUUCCUCU